UUGAAUGCUUGUUAUAUGCAUUUCACCAUAAGUAAAGUUCAUCUCUUCUCCAGUCUUCCUCCGAGGCAUGUAAUUCUUUAAUAACUGCACGAUAGAAGGAAGAAUCUGGCGUGAAUCCUGUGGCAGAGUGUAAGGCGAAAUUUCUGCAAGUGCUUUGAGCAAAUCAAGCUUUCGUUCCUCAGGAAGCUUAUCAAAAACAGGUAGCUUGUUCAAAUAGUUCAAAAACUUGCUGCCUGAUGCACCCCGCAGAAAAAAUGGAAGUGCCAUAUAAAGGCAUGAUAUCAGCCUGUCAAUAUGCUCUCCAUCUGAAACAUUGAAUUGUGC
rnacentral:misc_RNA from 1 species